GGAAACCGGAGCUAAUGCCGGAUAAUAUUUUGAACCGCAUGGUUCAAAAGUGAAAGACGGUCUUGCUGUCACUUAUAGAUGGAUCCGCGCUGCAUUAGCUAGUUGGUAAGGUAACGGCUUACCAAGGCAACGAUGCAUAGCCGACCUGAGAGGGUGAUCGGCCACACUGGAACUGAGACACGGUCCAG
rnacentral:rRNA from 1 species